AGCAGCAUGGUGUAUCGCCGCACACGGGGUUUUCUUGAUGGGGGCACAAUGGAAACUAGUCACCCUGAGGUCCUUGUUCGAUUCGAGGUGCUGCUA